UUAACCUGGAUGUGGGGAAAUGUCCUGCCUUGGAGUAUGGUUGUAUCUAUCUCCACCAGACCCCUUGGAAAUCAGAUGACAAACCUGCAUGGAUUAGCAAGAGAAAACAUGACUCCCCCAUCUCAUCCCACCAACUCUGUCAGUCCAGCAGGCCCCACAAUGCAGCCUCCACACCACUGCAGUAACAGCCACAUCUUCCCAUCACAAAGCUUCAGUACUAUCGCAAUGUGUUGAUUUACCAUCCAGGAUCCUGUGUUAACGUCAAUGUGAAACAGCAUUGACCCGUGAUCACCACCAACCAGGGCUCCACAGCGGUAUCCUUCGAUGACC